CCUACGGGUGGCAGCAGUAGGGAAUAUUGCUCAAUGGGGGAAACCCUGAUGCAGCGACGCCGCGUGUGGGAAGACGGUCCUCUGGAUUGUAAACCACUGUCCCCAGGGACGAAGAUGACGGUACCUGGGGAGGAAGCUCCGGCUAACUACGUGCCAGCAGCCGCGGUAAUACGUAGGGAGCGAGCGUUGUCCGGAAUUACUGGGUGAAAAGGGAGCGUAGGCGGGACUGCAAGUUGGGUGUCAAAUCUACCGGCUCAACCGGUAGCCGCACUCAAAACUGCAGUUCUUGAGUGAAGUAGAGGCAGGCGGAAUUCCUAGUGUAGCGGUGAAAUGCGUAGAUAUUAGGAGGAACACCAGUGGCGAAGGCGGCCUGCUGGGCUUUUACUGACGCUGAGGCUCGAAAGUGUGGGGAGCAAACAGGAUUAGAUACCCCUGUAGUC
rnacentral:rRNA from 1 species